rnacentral:rRNA from 1 species
UUCCUACAGGAGGCAGCAGUGGGGAAUAUUGCACAAUGGGCGCAAGCCUGAUGCAGCCAUGCCGCGUGUAUGAAGAAGGCCUUCGGGUUGUAAAGUACUUUCAGCGGGGAGGAAGGGAGUAAAGUUAAUACCUUUGCUCAUUGACGUUACCCGCAGAAGAAGCACCGGCUAACUCCGUGCCAGCAGCCGCGGUAAUACGGAGGGUGCAAGCGUUAAUCGGAAUUACUGGGCGUAAAGCGCACGCAGGCGGUUUGUUAAGUCAGAUGUGAAAUCCUAUGGCUUAACCAUAGAACUGCAUUUGAAAA